UACGUAGGGGGCGAGCGUUGUUCGGAUUCAUUGGGCGUAAAGGGUGCGUAGGCGGCGCGGUAAGUCGGGUGUGAAAUCUUGGAGCUUAACUCCGAAACUGCAUUCGAUACUGCCGUGCUUGAGGACUGGAGAGGAGACUGGAAUUUACGGUGUAGCGGUGAAAUGCGUAGAGAUCAUGAGGAAGACCAGUGGCGAAGGCGGGUCUCUGGACAGUUCCUGACACUGAGACACGAAGGCUAGGGGAGCAAACGGG
rnacentral:rRNA from 1 species